rnacentral:rRNA from 1 species
GACGAACGCUGGCGGCGUGCUUAACACAUGCAAGUCGAACGGAAAGGCCCUGCUUUUGUGGGGUUCUCGAGUGGCGAACGGGUGAGUAACACGUGAGUAACCUGCCCUUGACUUUGGGAUAACUUCAGGAAACUGGGGCUAAUACCGGAUAGGAGCUCCUGCUGCAUGGUGGGGGUUGGAAAGUUUCGGCGGUUGGGGAUGGACUCGCGGCUUAUCGGCUUGUUGGUGGGGUAGUGGCUGACCAAGGCUUUGACGGGUAGCCGGCCUGGGAGGGUGACCGGCCACAAUGGGACUGAGAUACGGCCCAGUCUCCUACGGGGGGCAGCAGUGGGGAGUAUUACACAGUGGGCCGGAGCCUGAUGCGGAAGCGCCGCGUGCGGGAUGACGGCCUGCGGGUUGUGAACCGCUUUCGCCUGAGACGAAGCGUGAGUGACGGUAAUGGGUAAAGAAGCACCGGCUAACUACGUG